GCCUGGCUGGCUCAGUUGGAAGAGCAUAUGACUCUUGAUCUCGGAAUUGUGAGUUUGAGCCCCACGUUGGGUG
rfam:Felis catus isolate Cinnamon breed Abyssinian chromosome C2, whole genome shotgun sequence.